GAAAUGCGAUAAGUAGUGUGAAUUGCAGAAUUCAGUGAAUCAUCGAAUCUUUGAACGCACAUUGCGCCCUUUGGUAUUCCUUAGGGCAUGCCUGUUCGAGCGUCAUCUAAACCUUCAAGCCCUGCUUGGUGUUGGGUGCCUGUCCCGCCUCCGCGCGCGGACUCACCUCAAAUCCAUUGGCGGCCCCCGCGUCGGCCACGAGCGCAGCAGAAACGCGAACUCGUGAGCCCGUCCGGGCGGCUCCCAGAAGCUACACCCACCCAGUUUGACCUCGGAUCAGGUAGGGAUACGCGCUGAAGAUAAGC
rnacentral:misc_RNA from 1 species